rnacentral:rRNA from 1 species
AGCGAACGCUGGCGGCAGGCCUAACACAUGCGAGUCGAACGAACUCUUCGGAGUUAGUGGCGGACGGGUGAGUAACACGUGGGAACGUGCCUUUUGGUUCGGAAUAACUCAGGGAAACUUGUGCUAAUACCGAAUGUGCCCUUCGGGGGAAAGAUUUAUCGCCAUUAGAGCGGCCCGCGUCUGAUUAGCUAGUUGGUGAGGUAACGGCUCACCAAGGCGACGAUCAGUAGCUGGUCUGAGAGGAUGACCAGCCACACUGGGACUGAGACACGGCCCAGACUCCUACGGGAGGCAGAAGUGGGGAAUCUUGCGCAAUGGGCGAAAGCCUGACGCAGCCAUGCCGCGUGAAUGAUGAAGGUCUUAGGAUUGUAAAAUUCUUUCACCGGGGAAGAUAAUGACGGUACCAGGAGAAGAAGCCCCGGCUAACUUCGUG